AUUCCAGCUCCAAUAGCGUAUAUUAAAGUUGUUGCAGUUAAAAAGCUCGUAGUUGGAUUUCUGGCAGGAGCGACCGGUCCGCCGCAAGGUGUGCACUAGGUUGUCUCCAGUCAUCUUUGUGGGAACUGCUCUGGCAUUAGUUUGUCGGGGUUAGGGAACACAUCGUUUACUGUGAAAAAAUUAGAGUGUUUAAAGCAGGCUUAUGCCGUUGAAUACAUUAGCAUGGAAUAAUAAGAUAGGACUUUGGCGUCUAUUUUGUUGGUUUGCACACCAAGGUAAUGAUUAAUAGGGAUAGUUGGGGGUAUUCGUAUUUAAUUGUCAGAGGUGAAAUUCUUGGAUUUAUGAAAGACGAACUUCUGCGAAAGCAUUUACCAAAGAUGUUUUCAUUA
rnacentral:rRNA from 1 species